GAUGAACGCUGGCGGCGUGCUUAACACAUGCAAGUCGAACGAAGAUGCCGGAGUGCUUGCACUUUGGCAGACUGAGUGGCGGACGGUGAGUAACGCGUGGGUAACCUGCCUUAUACAGGGGGAUAACAGUUGGAAACGACUGCUAAUACCGCAUAAGCGCACGGUAUCGCAUGAUACAGUGUGAAAAACUCCGGUGGUACAGGAUGGACCCGCGUCUGAUUAGCUGGUUGGUGAGGUAACGGCCCACCAAGGCAACGAUCAGUAGCCGGCCUGAGAGGGUGAACGGCCACAUUGGGACUGAGACACGGCCCAAACUCCUACGGGAGGCAGCAGUGGGGAAUAUUGCACAAUGGGGGAAACCCUGAUGCAGCGACGCCGCGUGAGUGAAGAAGUAUUUCGGUAUGUAAAGCUCUAUCAGCAGGGAAGAAAAUGACGGUACCUGACUAAGAAGCCCCGGCUAACUACGUG
rnacentral:rRNA from 1 species